rnacentral:rRNA from 1 species
UACGAGGGGUGCAAGCGUUGCUCGGAAUUAUUGGGCGUAAAGGGCGCGUAGGCGGUCAGCACAAGUCAGUUGUGAAAUCUCCGGGCUUAACUCGGAAAGGUCAACUGAUACUGUGCGACUAGAGUGCGGAAGGGGCAACUGGAAUUCUCGGUGUAGCGGUGAAAUGCGUAGAUAUCGAGAGGAACACCUGCGGCGAAGGCGGGUUGCUGGGCCGACACUGACGCUGAUGCGCGAAAGCCAGGGGAGCGAACGGG